CUAUAGCCCCGAUAGUAGCGGCAUCCUUUUUCUUUUUUCCCAAAAAAAGAAAAAGAUAUAGCGGAUAGCGGGAUUAGGC
rnacentral:sRNA from 1 species